rnacentral:rRNA from 1 species
AUUGAACGCUGGCGGCAAGCCUAACACAUGCAAGUCGAACGAGUGGCGGACGGGUGAGUUAUGUCUGGGAAACUGCCUGAUGGAGGGGGACAACUACUGGAAACGGUAGCCAAUACCGCAUACCAUCGGAUGUGCCCAGAUGGGAUUAGGUAGUAGGUGGGGUAAAGGCUCACCUAGGCCACGAUCCCUAGCUGGGCUGAGAGGAUGACCGGCCACACUGGAACUGAGACACGGUCCAGACUCCUACGGGAGGCAGCAGUGGGGAAUAUUGCACAAUGGGCGCAAGCCUGAUGCAGCCAUGCCGCGUGUAUGAAGAAGGCCUUCGGGUUGUAAAGUACUUUCAGCGGGGAGGCGUUACCCGCAGAAGAAGCACCGGCUAACUCCGUGCCAGCAGCCGCGGUAAUAC